CCCUUAGAUGUUCUGGGCCGCACGCGCGCUACACUGAUGCAUGCAACGAGUUCUAUCCUUGGCCGGAAGGCCUGGGUAAUCUGUGAACGUGCAUCGUGAUAGGGAUAGAUUAUUGCAAUUAUUAAUCUUGAACGAGGAAUUCCUAGUAAACGCAAGUCAUCAGCUUGCAUUGAUUACGUCCCUGCCCUUUGUACACACCGCCCGUCGCACCUACCGAUAGAAGGUAAUGAUGAGCCCUCAGGAUUGUGGCCUCGUCGCGUCAGCGUCUUGGCUGCGAGAAUCUGUGCAAAUCCCUACCUUUAGAGGAAGGUGAAGUCGUAACA
rnacentral:rRNA from 1 species